GGGGAGCGCCGGGGUGGGAGCGGGGAAUGGCGCUGGGGGAGUGCCCGGGUGAGGGCGGCAGCCGCGGCCCGGCUCCCGAGGGCGGCCCGGCUCCCGAGGGUUCCGGCAGGCCGUGGGUGGCGGUGCCGGGCUGGCGGUGCGCAGGGCCCGGUGCAGCUCGUCCCGCAGGGGAUGGAGCAGCACCGGGGGACAGCGAUUUAAUCGCCAUUGUCUCAGCUCGUUCGUCAGAGAGGAGGGCUUGGCGGCGGCAACACGCUUCCUCUUCCAGUGUGGGAGCUGUAGGAGCCUUUCUGCGAGCGAUUCCGCACAGGCUGACCCGGGUGACUUCAGCCACCCGCCCGUGGGAUCCAUCCCGGCGUGGCACAGGAGAGCACAGCAAAACGCCUUUAUGUGGCUGUGCUGUCUCAUAAACCUGCACAUGGGAUCAUUUACUGCUCUCCAAAUCGAGAUUCCAGUGGCCAGACUGCUUGGCAGAGAUGAAUUGGCUGGCGGGGCUCCCCCAACUCCAUGCUCUAAUCUUACCUACUCAAACCUAACUUUGCCAAGCAAGGGUUAUUUCAGUAAGUGAAGGGAUCAUGCCAAGCAUGUUUCUGUAAGAUGGAUGUGGUGUUGCCUUGUACAGUACAAAUCAGAUGAUUAAUUAGGAGAAUAUUAAUAUUAUCAUUAUUAGAAUUCUAUUUACACUAUUCUUCUAAUCUAAUAUCUUGUUUACAGUGGGAUUUUGAACAGUUCCAGCCCUCAACAAAAGCGAUUAGUAGAGGCACACCAAGGCAAACCACGGGUUUAAACCAUACUCAGUGUCAACAUCUUUCAUGGCAGGACUGAUGCAGACAGGAUCUGCUGGCAGCUGUGCCAUGGUUUCUAAGUCAUCUCCUAAGCUAAAUGUGUCACCUCUGCCAGGUAACCACCUCCAGCACAGGGAAGUGUGAGUGUCACAGCUUGGCUGCAUGUCAGGCUCAAUCUGACUGUGCAUGGCUCUUGGUCCCCUUUCCCAACUGUUCCCUGGUGCCAGCAGUGAGCAAAGAAUUAGGUGGUAACAGUUUCGUAAACUGCUAUGGCAAGACUUGCCCCUCAGUUUCUGUAGUUCUAGUAAAGAAUAAACUCUACUGAUACAAAUUUCAGAUUUUGUUCUCCAACAGGGGCUUGGUUGCUGCUAGGACAGGUGAGGUUGGGCCAGAAGACUUCUGGAGACAGCUGCUCAGUUUUUCUGAAAAAGGAGGGCAGAGCUUGAUGCUGGGAAGGAGAACUCCUGAAAUGCAGAGCCGAGCUAGUUCCCUGAGAAAUACUCCCAUUAAUCUCAGUGAGGAGCAAAGUUUGAGGGCGCUGCUGAAGAGCUCAGACCUGCACACAGCUGCAUUUCAACAGCAGAAGUGCCAGCAGUAUCCCAAUAUCCUGACUUUAUAUUGAGGGUGUAGAAACGUUCUGGAACCUGUGAUGUGUACACCAUGACUGGAAGGCUGGCUGCUUUGUGGUUAUGGCAAAAAACUGGGCUGACCCCUGUAAAAUGAGUGCACUGACCCCUUCAAAGGUGCACACAGAGGUGUUGCAUCUUGUCUCCAUCUCCUCUCAUUCCCUCUGCUCCUCUUUGACUCUUUCUUCUGCCUUCUCCCAAGCCACUGUCAUUUUCAUUUCCUUUCCUGCUGCCUUGUACAUUUGAUCUAGAUUCUACUCACAAAUAUAUCAGAGUUUUUCUCCUCACAGUUUUCAAAGCCUGUUUUUCCACCUUUGUUCUGUGGAUACAGAUCUCAAACCAGUAACUUCCUGUUGCUGGAGCAUCAAAGAUAUACAAAUUCAAGAUACAGUAAAAAAAUAAAACAAACAACUGUUCAGACUUGUUUACUUUGAAUGAGAAUAAGAACAUUCAUAUCAUGAAGCUUGACUGAGUGGAACCAGGUUAAGAAUGCCCCAACCAUCAUGACAGUGCUGAUGAAACUGGAAGAUUUUUUUACUGGAAGUCAGUGUCUGUUAAGGAGAGCGCUAAAUUACUCAGCACAGGUAUUGGUAGAGCAGUCCUCACCAAUAACAUAUUUUUAGUACCAGUGACUCUUGUUGAACUCAUCUCUGUAAUUGUUUUUGAUGAUAGAAUGACUCAGAGUGCCCUAAAAACAUGGUAAUAAAAGAAACCCCUUAUUAUGGACCAAGGAACCAUUAAGUCUAAAUCCUAAAAAUUGGCAUUCAGCAUACAAGAUUAAGGAAGCAAAAACCUUGUUAAUUUGGUUACUCUUAUUUAUAAAGUAAGAAAAAACAGAACCUUCAAAUACCUUAAGUAGUUUUGAUUAAAAACAUUCUUAGGACUAGAAAUAUGUCAUUGUGCACUCAGCCAGAAAUGCAUUUUAAUAAAUGAGUCAGGGUUAGAAGAAGAAUGAGAGAACUUUUCUUACUGAAUGCAUCCCUGUGGUGGGGCCCAGUCAUGUAGUGUGCUUGGAAGGAGCAACAUACUAAGCAUGGACAGCUGAUUAAUAAGACAUUUAACCUAUUAUUUUUUCAUGGGACAAAGAGACUUCAGUUCUGUAAGGUAUUUGUAAAAUGAGUUUCCAAAAUGAACCAGGCAAUCCCAGUCUGAUACCCAGUAGACACCCAUUUGGUACCUCAUAGGUGUUUGCAUAGCAAAUCUGUUACUAAUUACAAUUCUUGACACUCAGGAGUACAUGAGCUGUGUGGUUUGCCCUUAUUAUUUUUAGGUCAAUUUGUACCCAUGUACAAUCUCCUGCCUGCCCUUCACAAGCACUCUCUACUUGUCUAGAGGUGGAGGAGUUUAAACUCCUGGACUACUGAUGAACUGUCAUAUAAAGACAUACUGAAUUCUGAGACAUUGAAUAUCUGUACAGGAUUAUGCAAAGAGGGACACACAAUUAGGGUCUGUAGUUUUCUCUGCAUUGCAAAAUUGUCCUGGGUUGUACAAAUCCAUCAAAUGAAUAGGCAGGCUCUGAAAGCUUCCUUUUCCCCACCCAAGAUGAAAAAUGUAAUUGCCACUGGGAUGCCAGAGGUGAAUAGAUUCUGUCAGGAGGUUAUAUUGAUAAAAGUAAACAUCCUGCACAAAAGCUGAGUUUCUCUUGGCCACUUGGCACAGAUGAGUUCUUAUUACAAGCCUGCACAAUAACCAGUCCCUUGAUCUGUUAAACAGAUAACAGAGAAGCAGUUCCUCAGUUGCCAAAAUUAUUUAUUUUGUGACAAGACACAGCUAAUGCUCCCAGCUACCCACUUUUUGGAGCUGGCAGUGGUGAUGGGCUGGCUGCAGAGGCAGGAGAGCAGGACACCAUGGCUCAGGGAGCCAAUUAAAUGCAGUGGGGAGGGAGCAGAGCAGCACAGCUUGGUGAGGCACAGGAAAUGGGUUUGGCAGGUGAAACUCCACUCCCAGUAUACACUGGAGAGUAAAUCAAGCAUUUGGGGUAAAUAAGGGGGAGAAAAGUACCCUUCUGCUUUCUUUUGAUUUUAUAGCAAACAGAAUAUGAGGAUUUAGCCUUCCUGAUCUUAGGGGUGUGCAUGGUAAUGGAGGAAGGUGGUGGUUUCAUUAAGGUUUGGUUUAGAAGCUUUACCAUUAAAGCUCUUUCCUUUUCUUGGAUUUAGAGAACACAGGGUUUGGGCUUUGUUAGCGUGUUCAAGGACAUGUGGCAGCAGAACUACCCUGAGAAAAGUUUAUGCUUUGUGUCCUGCAGACAGCAUGGAUACAGCUUUUUUUUUUCUUGCUGCAAACUGACCCAGAUUUCUGCUUUAUUUACAGUCUUUUUGAGCAUAGUGUGAAGGAGAGGCAUUGCUUUUGGAAAUGCAUGUCAAUGGUCUUGUGAAAUGAGCAUCUCUCCCUCCCUCAGCCUUCCCCCAAUCUAAUUAAUAAGGUCAUCCCACUGAAGGCAGGCUUAUAAAUAGCUUUCCAAGCACUAAUGGAAUUAGUUCUGGCCUGGACAACUUUUCCAGGGUGACACAGGUAUCGAAGAAGGGCUUGCUCCUUGGCAUAGACAGCCACUUAGAGCAGGAAAUGUUGAAAUGUAAACAUCUACCUGAUGGCCCAGCUCUUGCUGCCAGCACUAAACCUGAAAUGGGAUUACAGCAUUGCUACUCACAUCGUGGAAAGACUUGCAAGUGAAACAAGGCAUUUUAGAGGGAUGGGCCUUGUAUUAGAUUACAUUAGUCUGGAUAAUGAAAUGUCAAAUUCUGAUGAAGGUUUCUCUUCUGUCACUAUUUCUGAGGAAAGUGUAUUUUUCAUGUCCCACAAACCCACAAGAUUUUGUGAGGAUAAUAAACAGUUACCAUGGGGAAUAAAAUCGAAGUACUUCUAGUUGAUAAGAAUCUUUACUGUGACAGCUUUUAAUGGGAAAGGACUAGCACAGCUAUAAACUCUCAAAAGAGUGAUGAUUGAAAAUUGACUAUUUAAAUCAUCAGUGAAUGGAGCCAUUGAACCCCUUCAAAACCAAUGGCUGAAUUACUAACAUUUAAAAUCUCACGUGAGACUGGAAUUUUAUAAUGAAAAUAAAACCUAAAUGCAUCAUAGAAAAUGUAAGCUCUGAUUGUUUAAAAAACUUGAACCAAAAUGUAAAGAGAAUGUAUCUGAUUCAAGAACUUCAAAUCAAUAAGCAUGAAGCUCCUGAAAACAUGAGACAAACAUGAAAUUAUAAUACGAUUAUCUAUGUGACUAAUGAAGUUUAAUUACAGUAAAAUAAUGGAGAAACAUUAUUUCACAGUCUGUUCUAUUUGUUCUAUCUUCACAGUCUGUUCUUCUAUUCAGCCUGUGUAUUGCAAUAGUCCUACCAUGUAUUGCAUCUCCAGUAAACAAAAGGAGAUUUCAAAGAUUUCAAAAUUCUUAUUGGGAAAACUGAUGAAGGCCAAAUUUUAUAUAAAUUCAUCUUCUCAAUCAAAUUCUAUGCUGUUGCAUGUUCUGAAUAUAACCUUCUCCUUAAAUGAAGAAGCUGACAUGAGGGCAGGAGGUGCUUCUUCACGUAGCUGAGAAAAGAUCACUUCUUUAGAGAAGGAGAGAAAAGCAGCACUUUUCAGUCUCUGAAUUGGCCUUGGACCAGCUGCACAAAUUCUGAGUCAUCAGAUGAAUCAAGUCUGUUAAUGACUGCAGAGAACUUUUACUUCAAAAAAUGCAGAAGCAUCCUGCUUUCAGAUAUUGAUUCUGUAGUGCUUCCUUUGGGAGGCUUUAGUCAUAAAGGUGCCAGAUUUCAAGGCUUUUUUAGAAAUAAAAAAUGUGAGAAGGGUUUGGCUUUUAGUAAUUGUACCAUAAAAAAGAUGGUGGCCCACAGCCCUUGGAACAUCUAUCAGUUUCUCUAGCAGAAAUCAGUAUGGAAUUUUGGCUGACAGCCAAAGAGCAAGUUAUUAAAGGUAAAAUUCACUCAUAAAGAGAAUUCUAUAUGAAAGGCCAAAUCAGGACAACCUGACUCAGGAGCUAAGCAGCUGCCAUUGCCUUCAGCUUCAGACUGGAGAACACCUGAAAAAUCACAGCUGAGUUUCUUAAACCAAAGGGACAAGAGUCAUGAGGAUCUGUGUUCUAGUCUGCCUUUAGAAAGUCUGCAAGAGAGAAUAAAUAAUUACUGUACUGUAUGGUAACAGUAUAUCCUCUCAGUGUCAUUAGAUCCUAACAGAUGAAGUCUCUCACCCCAUCCUCCAGUUGUCUCAUAAUUGUGGCCUGCAAAGAAAAGCCCCAGCUGUACCCAUCCUUGGGGAAAAAAAGACCUUUUUUGCCCACUCUCAGAUGUAGGAUUUUAGCACCCAGAAAUGGAGGCUUUCGAAGACCUUUUUAGCAUGUGUUACCCAUGCAGAACUAAAUUAUUUCUCUUUGGACCCAAUAUUUUAAUAUAUCUCCAAAUUCUUCCAUUUUCAGAAGUAAAUGAAAAAUGUUCACCCUUCUACCAAAGCCAAAAUAAAGCAGCUCUGUAUUUAAAUCCUGGUCCACAGUGGACCAUCUUUAACUGAUGUUUGUAACAUUGACCUGCAAAAUCCUUUCCCCUCCUUUCUUCUCCCUGUCACUGGGAUUUUAUUCUGUGAAUGUCUGCUAUCCACUGUUAAUGUGCCAAUCAGUCUUAAUUCCUUAUCUUUGACAUCACAAUCAAUGAAGGGAAAUAAGCUGUUACUUAAUGGGGCUGACACAAAAUCCAUUUAAGCUAACGGAAGGACGCUCCUUGUUUCCUAUCAGCCCUAGGUCAGGCCAGAGUGAACAGUGGGUGGAAUUUAGCCUGUCAUUUGUCAUCUGAGAGGAAAUGAUUCCUACAUCCCAUUUGGACUGCUUAGAGAUUUUAAACAUAUUUAGCAAAAGAAAACAGAUUGAUUUCUUGUCAGUUGUUGAAUGGUUGAAAUUUAACUCUGGUUGGAUAGUCUCUCAGUUUCAAAUGCUACUUAGUUUAAUAUUAAAAAAAAAAAACCAAAACAAAUUUAGGAGAGAAAGAUCAAGGUGAGUGUAAGUCAGUGAAACUGAAGGGCCUGAUUGCCCUGUGCAGGUCAUGAAGCAUCAUCUGCACAGGAGCUCAGCCUCGCUGGCAGGGGCUGCACAGGGCUGUGAACUCAGCCUGCCCUUCCUGCCAGCCAGCUGACAGCCUCUCAGUGUUACUUAUUUUAAAUGUAUUUAUCCUAAGUACACUUGGAGAGGGAGAAAACAUCUGUACUCCAACACACAGAGUUGUCUCAGGUCUUCUAGGUUUUGUAAACAGACUUAAUAAAAUAUGAAUCAAUUUUUCUCUAUUGCUUGCAAAUAUUUACAAAUAUUUUUCAGAAGCAAAAUGAACAUGUUCUUUAAUAUAGCCCAACAAACAUCAGACACACUGUCCCUACUGUAUCUCCCAGUUUGAAUAAUGCUUGUUAACCUUGGGAAGAGGGAGCAGAGUGCCUGGCAGGGACAAGAGGAUCUGAGUGAUUGUCUAACUUGCAAUUCCCCUGAUAAGUUUAGAGACUAUUUCUGCAGUGUUUCUGCAGAAAUAAUAUCUGUUAUUUAAGGACAAAAGUCAAAAUGUUCUGUUUCUUGGUUAUGGUGUGUUACAAAGAGUAAAGGGAGUUCUGUUUCACCACGUCCCUUCUGAACAGCAGGAAAUUCUUGGGAUAUAUCAUUUAGUUGCUGGUGGUCAGGCCAAGUUGCUGAGAGGUCAGAGGACUUGCAAGAAACAGAGACAUCAAGAAGUUUGAUUUCAGUGCAAAUUUGUCUACUCUGCUCCAAACAGUGAUUGCAAAACAAGUGUUACUGCUGCUGGCAAGCUUUGUGAGGCCUCACAUCCAUCAUCCACUUAGUUCUGUCUGUCCUUGAGUCAGAGUUAUACAUUGUGUUAUCUUCGAUGGCAGGGAUGAGUUUUCAGACAGACUCUGACCUGACUUCUCUUCCUCCUGUGGUGGAUGAAAGUCUACAGCAUUCCAGUGAUAUUGGGAAUGCUCUGAGGAUUGGUCUCACACAAAUGAAACUCUGACCCCUCACAUAAUUGCUGGAAGGACUAAAGGCAAAAAAUCCCCUUAUACUUGGGAAAUUUUUAGGAGCCAUUUGGAAAGCGAUUGGGCAAAAACAAUCCAGAGGGGGCACAGGAGUCCCUCAACUUGUUUUUAAAAUCUGUCAGACAGCAAAUUCCUGUCCUCCAGAUUCCUGGGUCUUGAGGCUCAGUAGCAAUAUUUAUAAGGAGAGGCUGGUUGAAGAAAAUCAAUAAAUAAACAGACAAUGCCCCUGAUGAAGAGCUGAAAUGGAGAUUUUUGUGGGCACAGCUCAUGUCUUUCCAGAAACUUUUCCUUCCCCGGGGCUGUCACUUCUGAGCUGUUCCUGGCUGUCCACAGAGGGGAGUGGGGAUCCUCACCAGGACCUAACCUUGUUCUGCUGCACUGAGCAUUACAACCUCUUAUCUGUUGCUUGUGGGUGCUAAAUUGCAAGGCCACAUUUUUGGGAACAGAAUGCAGAGCCUUGGAGGAAGGCCAUGCUUUCAAACUCUGUGUCCUCAGCAGCUUCCCCGGCACUGGGGCCGCGGUGCUGGCAGCGGAUCAAAGCCCAGGAAUUCCUGUGCUGUGCUCAGGCUGUUCCUCCGGGCUGAGGUCACAGCACUCUCCUCCUUUCUGUAUGGUUUCUGCAGGAUCAGUUUUAUAAAUUACAGGGUAAGAUACAGCCCUGGUGUGAGAGUGGGGCUGGGGAGGGCACAGGGCUGCUUGUGUCCCCAACAAACCACCGUGGUGGCAUCUGCCCUCGGCUGACCCUGCUGGCAGCUGUGCCCUGUCCUGCUCCUACCAACUGCCCAAGGCUCAUUCAAACAGCCUCACAUCUCAUAGAAAUAGGAAUGGUGGCUUCUCUACUGCCUCCAAUUCUUUGGAACUUUACAGGAGUCUUGUAAUAGCAUUUUACUUAAAUUCUAGAAAACAACCCCAAAGCUAUUAGCAACCUGGCCCUCAGAAAAACCUCUGUGGAGGUUCAGUCAAAAUGACAAAAUCUCUAUCCAAAAAUCUAUAAAGGCAUUUUCAGUUUUUCAGUGGAAGUCCAGAUUCCCAUAUUUUGGCAGUAGACCUGUACUGGGUACAUUUGCACUAACAUUAACCAUUUAAAAGCUCCUCUGUGCCCUUAGAGACAAGAAGGAAAAUGCUUCCUUUGAGGAAAGAUGCCCCUUAGCAGAGGGGAGGAGAUACUCUGGAGGAAUUAAUCUCUUCCCUUUUGUUCUUGAGUUUUGACGGGGGGCAAAGGCUCAAUUUUUGGAUGGUGACAUUAAUCCCACACAAACUGAGCCGUAGGCUGUGCCCCCGCUUGCAACUCCUGCAACAUGGAAGGUUAAAAUAAAUGCUUGUUAAACUCCAGGCUGUAUAAUGCAUGACACAUUAGAGCUGCUUUUAGUCAUCAAUAUAUUGCUAUUUAAAGAUGACUGAGACUUUUAAGUCUGAUGAUUAUUCAUAUUAAAAGUGUUUCUUUUUCAUCUGAGAUUUUAUGCUGUCAUGCAGACAUCUCCAUAAUUAAAUGUGUGCUUGACUCUUUCUGUCUUCAGUUAAGUAGACAUUAAUGGGAACCUACCAAAAACAACUGCCAGAAAUCUUCCUGCACUUUAAUUUAAAAAUAUUAAUAUCAAAUUACAGUGAUGAUAAAAGUCCAAUAUGAGAUCACUAAAGGGAAUCAAGGAUAAAUGGUUUUGGAAUAAUCCAAGGUAGUUUGUUCAAGCUGCUCCUUUUCUCCCAGCUUUUCUAUACAGCAGAGACCUAUUCUCCACAGCAUGAGGAGGGGUUUAAAAUUAAACACUUUCAAGCACAAAAUCUCUCCACUUAUAAGAGUAGUACUGAAGUUGCAAAAUCAAAGACCUUAAUAAUAGGGAGCACCAAAAUUCAAGUCUGUCUUAGCCUGUCUCUGUCUAAUAUUGCACACCAUUUAAUGCCAUAAUCAAACAUUUUUCCUGUGGGAAAAAUCACACAACUGAAUGGACUAUGUUCACUUUGGGAGUAGCUACUCAAUAUUUCAUUUUUCUGUGUGUGGCAUAGGGUUUAAUCCAAGCUGGGGGGAGAGGUCUUACACACUGAAGUCUUAAUAAUCUGAUCUGAUCCUUAGUCAUUUACAGAGCAGCCCUAAUCUAACCUGGGCACUGAAUCCACAUGCUAAAAUUUUCCCGUGAUUUUUUUUUUUGUCUUUAGAAUUUUCUUUCUCUACAGUAAGAGCAAAUCACCUGCUGCAGUGCCUGCAGAAGGGAACUGCCUCACUGAGCAAACAACCAUGGCUUGAUCCUGCCUUCCCAGGGAGCAGAUGGAUGCUUGAGAUAACCUGAGGUAUAGAUGGUGUCGUACCACUGACUGCAGAUCCAAAAGGUGCUCUUUUUACAGCCACUUCCCAGGCCAAAGCUUUUCCCUGUGCAGGAGGAUUUCCAUCCUUGCAGCAUUGCUCUGUCAUGCCUUUGCCUCUGUUCAGGCUAUGGAGUGGGGCUGAGCUACACCUUACACAAGCUGCAGAGCAAACUGGAGGCCCAUAACACAGCCAAAAUUGGAUCAAUUCUUUUGUGACAAAUGAGUGGGACCUUAAAUGGGUAUGUUGUUUGUACUCAUCCCUUUGCUGCUAAGGAGCAGAGAACAAAUAUUUGUACAACUGCCUUCACAAAUCCAGUUAACAUAAACCCUCUGCCCUCCCUGCAAUAAAAAGCUGCCAAAAAAGAUUGGCUGUUCAUUAAAUUUUGCUGUGGGUGAUGAAUGUGGCUGCCUCCAAAAGCAGUCCUGCCCUCAAGACUGAACACAGCCUGGCAGGAGUGACCCAGCUCUUCUGACUGGCUUGGAGGGCAGAUCUUCAGCCUCUCUUGGGAGCUGUGACUCCAGUGCAGCCAGGGCUGCUCUCUGGACAUUAAUUCCAGCUGAUUAGCUGCACAGCUUUAAAUCCCAGAUACUGCUUUUUAUCCUCAAAUAUGAAAACCCAGGCCAAGCAGCUUGGAGUCUCUGCUUUGAUCACAAUUUACCCACUGCAGCAAGGGUUUGCUGGAGGAGGGUUGGAGAAGAUGUGUCUACUCCAGCUGGGAAUUUCUGCACAGUUCCCAGCUUGGAGGGGAAUGGGACAAUGCCCGUCCUGCUGCCAACAGUCGCACAGAGGAGGUGGCAAAGCUGCUCAUAUUUGUUGGCAAAAAUGGGCAUGCUAGCAGGGGCCACAGCCUGAGCUAAGCCUGUGGGAAUGUGGGCAGCCACUCUGCGUGCCUGCCCAGGGCGCUGAGCCAGCUCACCUCCACCCUGACCUCACACAGCCCCUGUUAUUCCAGCUCUGAGUCCAGCUCCAUAGCAGCUUUGUCCUCAGUGCAGGAGAAAGGUUUGUUUUGAUGGCAGGAUGAUGAAUGUGCCUCAGCUCCAUAGCUGUAAAAUCCCUGGGGAGAUGGGGCAUGUCCAGUUUGUACUGUGUCACAGCCAGGUGAGCACAGCACUGGUCUCUACUCAGGCAUGACCGUGCUCAGGCUUAGGAUUUACCUGACUGCAAAAACUACAGCUGCUUUCCUCAUUUUAUAGUGGCAAAGCUGGUAUCCACUAACCAUUCCACUUGAGAAAAUACCACCCAGUUCCCAGGAGAGACCACAGUGAGACACCAUCAGCUAUAGUAAACUUUUUCUUACAGGAUCAAGGAAAUUGCAAUCACUUUCCUUACACUGGGACUUGAGGCAGCACUGAAGGAGUGAGCCCUAUCUUCUGCUGUCCUGUAGGUGAGGCAGUGAAGCUCAUCUCUUUUUUUAAAUUCAAAAUGGGAUAAAACCAGUGUAGGAAAAAGCCAUCCUCAAUCAAAGAAGCCCUUGGCUGAUGGUAGGUGCUGCCCUGCAGAGCAAUCCUGGCCUGGGGCAGCAUCACUGCAAGACUCUCAUGAUUUAAAGCCUGAGGGUAUUUCGUAUUUGCACAUUCAUCCAUAACCACAUCCAUGUUUACAUAUGGCUGAUCCAGAUUUUACCCUGAUUUCCCAACCAACAAUCCCUGUCAUUUCCUCCUUGACUCACCUCAAAGCCAAACUGUUCAGGGCUGGUCUGGGAGUGCUCAGCACCAGUGUUGGAUAAGUGAACUAAAGCAGCAGCAAGGACGGCUUUGGUGACACUCUUCCCAUAUGCCAGUGCGGUUUAUUUUAUGUUCACUAUGGUUUAUUUUUUUAU